ACUAUGCAGGGCUCCAGCCCUCCAGGAAUUGAGUUUGACACCCCUAGUCUAAAUUUUCCUAAAACUGACCCGGUUCCUUUGCCACCGUCAAAGUUCAGAAAACUGACAGUGGUUUGUGUCAUUAAUCUUUUGGCUCGCCUUUGGUGUUAAUCUUGGGAAGUUCAAAAACAACUUCCUGUACAAGAGACUAGGGUUACAUGUAUGCUCCAGUAGUGCUUAUUUUCUGUUCCUGUGUGAGACUCACCUGUCCCAGAGCUUCACCUGGGAGGGUAAGCUGCUCCACAAAGCUGAUUAACUGCUCUUAUCCAGUAUUCUGAGGAUGGGUGUUCAGCUGUUCUGAGCAGGACAAAAGCCUCAUUUAGAGAAAUCCAUUUCCUUCUCUUCAUCCAAUCAGGUGGGAGUGUCCACAGACAUGAUGGGGAGGAAGGGGGCAUGGCUCUCUCAGCUUUAUGUGGGAGCCGCUUCUGCAUCUGCCUCCUGUACCUGGUUGCCUUUAAACAGCGAUGUGAUCUUCGUCAUGAUGUCAGAAAGUGUCUCCUUCACACUCUUUUCCAGCAGCCAUCCCUCACUUUCGCUCUCAGGAUUCUCAGGGUCUGCCAGGGUUUCCAGUGAGGUGCUCAGGAUCACUCAGUGGAUUGUUGGCUGUCUGUAAGGAGUGCAGAAAGCAUGAAUGAAGAGCAGGAGAUAGAAACGCUUG